GGUCAGCUGGUGUAGUGGUUAUCAGAGACGUUUGUCUCACAAAAGGUGCUAGGUUCGAUCCCUGGGUUAAUCA